rnacentral:rRNA from 1 species
UACGUAGGGGGCGAGCGUUGUCCGGAUUUACUGGGCGUAAAACGCUUGUAGGCGGCCACGCCAAGUCGGAUGUGAAAUCUCCCGGCUUAACUGGGAGGGGUCAUGCGAUACUGGCGGGCUCGAGGCAGGUAGGGGGAAGCGGAAUUCCCGGUGUAGUGGUGGAAUGCGUAGAUAUCGGGAGGAACACCAGUGGCGAAGGCGGCUUCCUGGACCUGUUCUGACGCUGAGGAGCGAAAGCGUGGGGAGCGAUCCGGAUUAGAAACCCGCGUAGUCC